UACGUGAGGGGCAAGCGUUGUCCGGAUUCAUUGGGUCGUAAGAGCGUGUAGGCGGCCAGGUAGGUCGGAUUGUGAAAACUGGAGGCUCAACCUUCAGAGGUCGACCGAAACCAUCUGGCUAGAGUCCGGGAGAGGAGAGUGGAAUUCCUGGUGUAGCGGUGAAAUGACGCAGAUAUCAGGAAGAACACCCGUGGCGAAAGCGGCUCUCUGGGCCGAUCCCUGACACUGAGGCGCGAAGGCGGUGGGGAGCGAACGGG
rnacentral:rRNA from 1 species